rnacentral:rRNA from 1 species
CUUGUUGGGGUUGUAGGACACUCUAUACGGAGUUACAAAAGAACAUGUUAGACGAAUCAUCUGGAAAGAUGAAUCAAAGAAGGUAAUAAUCCUGUAGUCGAAAACAUAUUCUCUCUUGAGUGGAUCCUGAGUACGACGGAGCACGUGAAAUUCCGUCGGAAUCUGGGAGGACCAUCUCCUAAGGCUAAAUACUCUCUAGUGACCGAUAGUGAACCAGUACCGUGAGGGAAAGGUGAAAAGUACCCCGGAAGGGGAGUGAAAGAGAACUUGAAACCGUGUGCUUACAAGUAGUCAGAGCCCGUUAAUGGGUGAUGGCGUGCCUUUUGUAGAAUGAACCGGCGAGUUACGAUCUGAUGCAAGGUUAAGCAGCAAAUGUGGAGCCGCAGCGAAAGCGAGUCUGAAUAGGGCGUUGAGUAUUUGGUCGUAGACCCGAAACCAGGUGAUCUACCCUUGGUCAGGUUGAAGUUCAGGUAACACUGAAUGGAGGACCGAACCGACUUACGUUGAAAAGUGAGCGGAUGAACUGAGGGUAGCGGAGAAAUUCCAAUCGAACUUGGAGAUAGCUGGUUCUCUCCGAAAUAGCUUUAGGGCUAGCCUCAAGUGAUGAUUAUUGGAGGUAGAGCACUGUUUGGACGAGGGGCCCCUCUCGGGUUACCGAAUUCAGACAAACUCCGAAUGCCAAUUAAUUUAACUUGGGAGUCAGAACAUGGGUGAUAAGGUCCGUGUUCGAAAGGGAAACAGCCCAGACCACCAGCUAAGGUCCCAAAAUAUAUGUUAAGUGGAAAAGGAUGUGGCGUUGCCCAGACAACUAGGAUGUUGGCUUAGAAGCAGCCAUCAUUUAAAGAGUGCGUAAUAGCUCACUAGUCGAGUGACACUGCGCCGAAAAUGUACCGGGGCUAAACAUAUUACCGAAGCUGUGGAUUGUCCUUUGGACAAUGGUAGGAGAGCGUUCUAAGGGCGUCGAAGCAUGAUCGCAAGGACAUGUGGAGCGCUUAGAAGUGAGAAUGCCGGUGUGAGUAGCGAAAGACGGGUGAGAAUCCCGUCCACCGAUUGACUAAGGUUUCCAGAGGAAGGCUCGUCCGCUCUGGGUUAGUCGGGUCCUAAGCUGAGGCCGACAGGCGUAGGCGAUGGAUAACAGGUUGAUAUUCCUGUACCACCUAGUAUCGUUUUAAUCGAUGGGGGGACGCAGUAGGAUAGGCGAAGCGUGCUGUUGGAGUGCACGUCCAAGCAGUAAGGCUGAGUGUUAGGCAAAUCCGGCACUCAUAAGGCUGAGCUGUGAUGGGGAGAGGAAAUUGUUUCCUCGAGUCGUUGAUUUCACACUGCCGAGAAAAGCCUCUAGAUAGAUAACAGGUGCCCGUACCGCAAACCGACACAGGUAGUCAAGAUGAGAAUUCUAAGGUGAGCGAGCGAACUCUCGUUAAGGAACUCGGCAAAAUGACCCCGUAACUUCGGGAGAAGGGGUGCUCUUUAGGGUUCACGCCCAGAAGAGCCGCAGUGAAUAGGCCCAAGCGACUGUUUAUCAAAAACACAGGUCUCUGCUAAACCGUAAGGUGAUGUAUAGGGGCUGACGCCUGCCCGGUGCUGGAAGGUUAAGAGGAGUGGUUAGCUUCUGCGAAGCUACGAAUCGAAGCCCCAGUAAACGGCGGCCGUAACUAUAACGGUCCUAAGGUAGCGAAAUUCCUUGUCGGGUAAGUUCCGACCCGCACGAAAGGCGUAACGAUUUGGGCACUGUCUCAACGAGAGACUCGGUGAAAUCAUAGUACCUGUGAAGAUGCAGGUUACCCGCGACAGGACGGAAAGACCCCGUGGAGCUUUACUGUAGCCUGAUAUUGAAAUUCGGCACAGCUUGUACAGGAUAGGUAGGAGCCUUUGAAACGUGAGCGCUAGCUU